rnacentral:rRNA from 1 species
GGUGGGGAUGACGUCAGGUCCUCAUGGCCCUUAUGGGUAGGGCUACACACGUCAUACAAUGGCCGGUACAGAGGGCUGCCAACCCGCAGGGGGAGCCAAUCCCAGAAAACCGGUCGUAGUCCGGAUCGUAGUCUGCAACUCGACUGCGUGAAGUCGGAAUCGCUAGUAAUCGCGGAUCAGCUUGCCGCGGUGAAUACGUUCCCGGGUCUU